rnacentral:rRNA from 1 species
GUGGGGAAUAUUGGACAAUGGGGGAAACCCUGAUCCAGCCAUUCCGCGUGAGUGAAGAAGGCCUUCGGGUUGUAAAGCUCUUUCGGCAGGGAAGAAACGCUCUGGCUUAAUACGCCGGGGUAAUGACGGUACCUGAAGAAGAAGCACCGGCUAACUACGUGCCAGCAGCCGCGGUAAUACGUAGGGUGCGAGCGUUAAUCGGAAUUACUGGGCGUAAAGCGUGCGCAGGCGGUUUUGUAAGACAGGUGUGAAAUCCCCGGGCUUAACCUGGGAACUGCGCUUGUGACUGCAAGACUCGAGUACGGCAGAGGGGGGUGGAAUUCCACGUGUAGCAGUGAAAUGCGUAGAGAUGUGGAGGAACACCGAUGGCGAAGGCAGCCCCCUGGGUCGAUACUGACGCUCAUGCACGAAAGCGUGGGGAGCAAACAGGAUUAGAAACCCCUGUAGUCC